rnacentral:rRNA from 1 species
GAUGAACGCUGGCGGCGUGCCUAAUACAUGCAAGUCGAGCGAACAGAUGAGGAGCUUGCUCCUCUGACGUUAGCGGCGGACGGGUGAGUAACACGUGGAUAACCUACCUAUAAGACUGGGAUAACUUCGGGAAACCGGAGCUAAUACCGGAUAAUAUAUUGAACCGCAUGGUUCAAUAGUGAAAGACGGUUUUGCUGUCACUUAUAGAUGGAUCCGCGCCGCAUUAGCUAGUUGGUAAGGUAACGGCUUACCAAGGCAACGAUGCGUAGCCGACCUGAGAGCAAGACGAGGAACACUGAGCGUGAGCCGCGGGACCGAAGCCUACGGGAGGCAGCAGUGGGGAAUAUUGCACACUGGGCGCGAGACUGAUACAGUAAUGCAGAGGGUAUGAAGAAGGUCGUCGGGUUGUAAAAUCCUUUUAGCGGGAAGAAAGGGAGUAAAGUUAAUAACUGUGCUCAUUGACGUUACCCGAAGAAGAAGCACCGGCGAACUACGUG